GAUGAACGCUGGCGGCGUGCCUAAUACAUGCAAGUCGAGCGAACGGACGAGAAGCUUGCUUCUCUGAUGUUAGCGGCGGACGGGUGAGUAACACGUGGAUAACCUACCUAUAAGACUGGGAUAACUUCGGGAAACCGUAGCUAAUACCGGAUAAUAUUUUGAACCGCAUGGUUCAAAAGUGAAAGACGGUCUUGCUGUCACUUAUAGAUGGAUCCGCGCUGCAUUAGCUAGUUGGUAAGGUAACGGCUUACCAAGGCAACGAUGCAUAGCCGACCUGAGAGGGUGAGCGGCCACACUGGAACUGAGACACGGUCCAGACUCCUACGGGAGGCAGCAGUAGGGAAUCUUCCGCAAUGGGCGAAAGCCUGACGGAGCAACGCCGCGUGAGUGAUGAAGGUCUUCGGAUCGUAAAACGCUGUUAUUAGGGAAGAACAUAUGUGUAAGUAACUGUGCACAUCUUGACGGUACCUAAUCAGAAAGCCACGGCUAACUACGUG
rnacentral:rRNA from 1 species